AUUGAACGCUGGCGGCAUGCCUAACACAUGCAAGUCGAACGGGGCAGCAAUGCCUAGUGGCGGACGGGUGAGGAAUACGUAGGAAUCUGCCCUUAAGUGGGGGAUAACCAGGGGAAACCCUGACUAAUACCGCAUGAUCUCUUCGGAGCAAAGAGGGGGACCGCAAGGCCUCUCGCUUCUGGAUGAGCCUACGUCUGAUUAGCUAGUUGGUAGGGUAAAGGCCUACCAAGGCGACGAUCAGUAACUGGUCUGAGAGGAUGAUCAGUCACACCGGAACGGAGAAGCGGUCCGGACUCCUAAGGGAGGCAGCAGUGGAGAAUAUUGGACAAUGGGCGCAAGCCUGAUCCAGCAAUGCCGCGUGCAGGAAGAAGGCCUUCGGGUUGUAAACUGCUUUUGUACGGAACGAAACGGUCCUGGUUAAUACCCGGGGCUAAUGACGGUACCGUAAGAAUAAGCACCGGCUAACUACGUGCCAGCAGCCGCAGUAAAAC
rnacentral:rRNA from 1 species